AGACCUAUGGAAGACACAGGUAUUCGGACUCAAGCAAGGGAAAAGGGGAAAGGGUUUUUGAUGCGUAAAAGUGUGAGGGAAUGCGGUAGAUUAUUAAGAGAGCACCAGGACAUGGAGGAGAAUGAGUUUCGUACGGAUAUUAUAGAAAGGAAGAGAUAUAGGAAAUUGAUAGCAUCAAUAAUGUAAAGGGCAAAUGGGGGAAAUAUGUGAUUUAUAGGGUUAAAUCUAAGAAUAGCGUGAAGAAUAGUGUAAAUACGCCGCGUAUGGCGAUGGCACGUGUGGAGGGGGCGGUGUUGAAAUGAUGUAUCGAAAAAUAAUUUGCUUGUAAGUUUGUAUGAUGAGCUCAUAUGUAGGUAGAACCGAAAUUGUAUGUGUGUUAGACCUAGCGCCCUAUGAUGCAUCUAUGCAAGGGAUGAAGAUGCAAGAUAGCGAAGAAAAUCGACGUGUUUCAAGACUAAUAGGCCCAAGAGCUUCACCCUAGCUGUACGCUAGAUAGAGAUGCUACGGCAGAACCUUUUCCAGCCACAACAGAAUCCGUCAAUUCCUCAUUAUUUAUAAGGAUUCGAUUUAAAUAUUCUAAUCGAAGCAAAAUACCACUGUAAUCACCAUCCUGACAGGCAUCUAUACUCUCUAAAGUUUCUUGUACUACGGCAAGAGCGAACUCUGCCGCCAUGCUUGCGCCUGUGGUUAGUAGAAUAGUCCUCAAGUAUGACGUCACGUUGCCUAGCGACGAAAAUUUUCGGCUCUAAACAAACUCCGUUUAAGUAGAUGAUGGCUAGUGAACACUAGCGUGGACUGCGAAGACUCCGUUUAAGAUGGCGUCUAUAGCGUGACACGUCUUAUGCUGCUCUUUUAUCCUUUGUAUUGCUAGGAUUUUUUAAUUAUUUCUGUCAAAAGAGGAAUCAAUUUUCAAAGGAAAAGGAUUAACUAUACUUAUGAGUUCACCAUGGGCUUCGUUCUUCGUUCCUGAUUGUAAUCACCAGUCAGAAAGCCACCACUGCCGAAAAUUCAAGAGUAUAAACGUUGGGUUCGUUUGAUAAGAAGGCAAGAUAGAGAGCCAACUCAGAAUUCUAGAGUUUGUAGUUGCCAUUUCGUAGAUGGAGACAAGAGUAAUGGACCCGAAAUUUAUGCUCGUAAUGAAAAGAAACUUUUUCCCUGCACAGAAAGGAAAACACACAACCCUAAAAAAAGGAAAUCGAUUGACAA